GACGAGCGCUGGCGGCGUGCUUAAUACAUGCAAGUCGAACGGAAAGGCCCUGCUUUUGUGGGGUGCUCGAGUGGCGAACGGGUGAGUAACACGUGAGUAACCUGCCCUUGACUUUGGGAUAACUUCAGGAAACUGGGGCUAAUACCGGAUAGGAGCUCCUGCUGCAUGGUGGGGGUUGGAAAGUUUCGGCGGUUGGGGAUGGACUCGCGGCUUAUCAGCUUGUUGGUGGGGUAGUGGCUUACCAAGGCUUUGACGGGUAGCCGGCCUGAGAGGGUGACCGGCCACAUUGGGACUGAGAUACGGCCCAGACUCCUACGGGAGGCAGCAGUGGGGAAUAUUGCACAAUGGGCGGAAGCCUGAUGCAGCAACGCCGCGUGCGGGAUGACGGCCUUCGGGUUGUAAACCGCUUUCGCCUGUGACGAAGCGUGAGUGACGGUAAUGGGUAAAGAAGCACCGGCUAACUACGUG
rnacentral:rRNA from 1 species